rnacentral:rRNA from 1 species
AGAGUUGAUCCUGCUCAGGAGAAAGCUGGCGGCGUGCCUAACACAUGCCAGUCCAACGGAAGAAUCCAGAAGUUUACCUCCCGGAUCCUUAACGGCGGACGGGUGAAUUACACGUGGGUAACCUGCCUCAAAGUGGGGGAUAACCUUUCGAAAGGAAAAUAUAAAUCCGCCUUAACCCUCCGUGUCCCGCUGGGGCUGAAAAGAGAAAGAGCCCUUCCCUUUGAGAUAGAACCCCGGGGCACUUACCUAUUUGGUGAAGGUAACGGCUCCCCAAGGCCACAAUGCGUUACCGACCUGAAAAGGUGAUCGGCCACAUUGGAACUGAAACACCGUCCAACUCCUACGGGAAGCGGCAGUGGGGAAUAUUGCACAAUGGGCGAAACCUCAU